UACAGUCAGGCAACGAGCGAGACCCACGCCAACAGUUGCCAGCUCGUCCUCCGGGAUGGUGGGGACACUGUUGGGACCGCCUCUGCUAAAGAGGAGGAAGGAAUGGGCAACGGUAGGUCAGCAUGCCCCGAAUUAUCCGGGCUACACGCGGGCUACAAUGGGUGGGACAAUGGGUAUCGACACCGAAAGGUGAAGGCAAUCUCCUAAACCCAUCCUUAGUUCGGAUUGUGGGCUGCAACUCGCCCACAUGAAGCUGGAAUCCGUAGUAAUCGUGUUUCAAAAUAGCACGGUGAAUAUGUCCCUGCUCCUUGCACGAAUUCGCCG
rnacentral:rRNA from 1 species